rnacentral:misc_RNA from 1 species
AAGUCGUAACAAGGUAUCCGUAGGUGAACCUGCGGAUGGAUCAUUACCAAUUUUAUAUACUAGUGUGUAUGCCGCUGUCAAAGGUGGUACUACACUACUACUAUUAUGUAAACGUUGAACUAGAUCAAUUGGUGUGGAUUGCUUGGGAAUGGACGAAGCGACAAGCCUCUUCCGGACAGGCAAACCCCACACUGAUACCCUUUUCAAUAUAAUUUACUAGUACAUACUACAAACAAACAAAAGCUAUAAUAGGACUUAUAAACAGGCUGAGUGGGUAAAAUCCUCGGCUUAACCAAUAUAACUAUUACAACUUUCAGCAAUGGAUCUCUAGGCUCUC